rnacentral:lncRNA from 1 species
AUUUAAUUUCUUCCGCUUUUAUUAUUUAAAAAUUAAAAUACAUAAAUAUUUAUACAUAUUUUAAAAUAGUUUUGAUUAUAUUAUUAAGUAUAAAUUUUAGUUUUAUUAUACUAAUCAAUUACAUAUAGAUUGUAUAUUGAAAAAUAAAAGAAAAAAAUUGAUGAAGUUUAAGUUAAUUAUUUAUUUUAAUAAAUAUAGUUAUGAAUAUUAAUUACAUGAAGCAUAGUAACUAAAUUGUAAAGCUAAAAGAAGCAGUCAAAUUUUGAAGUAAAAAUAUUAUUGAUUGAUUCAAAUGUAACGAUUCAGGCCACUAGUAACAAUAACUCGUUGGGCCCAAAAUAUUUAAACCCAGUUAUUAUUACUAGUGUCUAAGUUUCUUAUAUACCCAAUUACAUUCCCAUUCAUAUCCGAUGUGAGAUUAUUGAGGCGUGACAAACUCCCCCCGUUAUGGCCCUGACGCCCUCGUCAGUCCAAUCAUACACACAGCCCAAGAUCACCAAGCGAUGUGAGACUGCGAUGUGAGACUCGUCUCGCUAGUCUUUGUCAUUCAGACCCUAACUUAGCUUGUCAAUCACCGACCCUGACUCAACCAAAACUCAUCUCAUACUUUCGGCUGGUGAAUUGGCUCUGAUACCAAAUGUAAUGAUCCAAGCCACUAGCAAAAAUAAUUCGUUGGGCCCAAACAUCGGCCCAAAAUACUUAAGCACAGUUAUUAUUACUAGUGUCUAAGUCUCUUAUAUACCCAAUCACAUCCACAUUCAUAUCUGGUAUGGGAUUAUUGGGGUGUGACAUCAAAUCUAAUAUUAAAAUUUAUUAGAUAGCUUAACAUAUUCGUUUUGUGAAUAUAAUUACUGAUUGAACAAAACAGAUCAAUACUUAACUCUAUCUUCACUUGGAAUAAAAUUAAAAUAUUAGAUUUGAUGUCAUUAUUGGGGUGUGACAUCAAAUCUAAUAUUAGAAAGCAUCACAUAGCUUAACAUAUUCGUUUUGUGAAUAUAAUUACUGAUUGAACAAAACAGAUCAAUACUUAACUCUAUCUUCACUUGGAAUAAAAUUAAAAUAUAAAAAGAACAAAUUACAUUUUUGAUUCUAAAACUACAAGACGCGUGACACUUUAGUCCUCAAAUUUAAUGGGUUAUAUUUUCUUACUCAAAUUAUAAGCUAUGUGAUGCUUUCGGUCUCAUACUUUAAUUAGUUGCAAUUUUGGCUCGAACUACGAUACAUAUAAUAUUUUAAUCCUCAACUUUUACUGCUAUUAUAAAUAUAAUUUAUUAUUCUUAUAUUUUUUAUCCGUUUUACAUUUCUAUUCUUAUGUUUUCACUAUA